AUACUUACCUGGCAGGGGAGACACCAUGAUCAUGUAGGUGGUUUUCCCAGGGCGAGGCUCAUUCAUUGCGCUUGAAAUGUGCUGACCCCUGCGAUUUCCCCAGAUGUAGGAAACUCGACUGCAUAAUUUGUUAUAGUGGGGGACUGCAUCAGCGCUCUCCCCUG